UACAGAGGUCCCGAGCGUUGUUCGGAUUCACUGGGCGUAAAGGGUGCGUAGGUGGUGAAGUAAGUCGGAUGUGAAAUCUCGGAGCUUAACUCCGAAACUGCAUUGGAAACUACUUUGCUCCGAGGGUUGGAGGGGGGGACGAGUCAUGUGGUAGCAGUGAAAUGCGUAGAUAUCGAGAGGAACACCAGUGGCGAAGGCGAGUCCCUGGACAACUCCUGACACUGAGGCACGAAAGCUAGGGGGAGCAAACAGG
rnacentral:rRNA from 1 species